UGCACGCUUAAAGGAGCAUUUUGAAUUAAUGCGUUUGAAGAUUUGAAGUCAGGGCUUAAUAAAUAGUUUGCCAACGAUUGAAUAGGCCUACGCAACUUUCGUUAUUGUUUUAGAAACGGUUUACCACAUCGAAACCAAAUAUGACUGACGGUGACAUUUGCAUUCAUGUAGAAGAAAGCAGUAAUAAUAACAACGAGACAGACCGUUUACACCAGGGAGAAUCAGAGUGUUGUCCUGACUGUACCUGGAGAAAACCUGUAAAGUCGGUUCAUAAAAUUAAGAGGGGCGAUCACAUCUGUUUUAGGCCAUAUUGGUAUUCUCCUUACAGACAUCACGCAAUCGUAACGAACGUAGAUUCGACGCAAAAACAAGUGAAUCUUAUUCAUUUCACUCGCUUGGAUGGCAAGACUAUUACUCGUUCCCUCUGUGGACAGAAUUUCAAAAUAAAACAAACAGAUAUGAAGUUUGAAGAAAUGAACGGGCUACAGGUAGUCAAAUACCCACAUUCUAACCCAGAGCAAACAGUUAAAAAUGCUGAAGAGGAAAUGAGGAACAGUAAGGCGGUCACUUACAAUAUUUUCACUUACAAUUGCGAGCACCUGUGCUAUCGAUGUACCAUUCGGAAAAAGAACAGUAAACAACUGCAAUCGCAUUAUCGUGCCUGCGUUCAGUACUGUUCUUUCUUCUCUG